AGUUGCGCCCGAAGCCAUUAGGUUGAGGGCACGUCUGCCUGGGUGUCACACAUCGUUGCCCCAAACACCAAAUCCCUUGUGGAAGAGCUGUUGUGUGGGGCGAAUGCUGACUUCCCGUGAUUUUUUGCAUUCACGGUUGGUUGAAAAUUGAGUCCAUGGUAGAGUCUACCAUGAUGGAUGGUGGUUGAGUUAUGCUCGAGACCAAUCAUGGUGAACUUUAUCAAACUUGGGCUCUGGUAACCCAUAUGUGUUUAUAAACGCUCACAAUGAGACCUCAGGUCAGGCGGGGCUACCCGCUGAGUUUAAGCAUAUCAAUAAGCGGAGGAAAAGAAACUAACAAGGAUUCCCUUAGUAACGGCGAGCGAACCGGGAAGAGCCCACCAUGAGA
rnacentral:rRNA from 1 species